UUUCAGGCAGACUGGAAAGCAUAUGCAGACUGGCUCACAGAAGUAAACAUCAGGGAAAGAAAAUGUCAGGCAGGGACAGGUAAAACUAACAACUUGUCUCAGUGUCUGAAGUACUCAGAUGAUCCUGACCUGAACUCAGCUCCCACUGUGCAAGCCAGAGAUUGGCAGAACAAACGAUAAAAUGAAGCAGAACAAGACGAGGCAACCCUGGGGUUGACAUCGAAGCCCCAAUCAGCUAGCAUCUCACCAUCAGCGCCGCCGCCACUGCCACCAUCGUAUACAGCAAACGUGAUGGAAAGCACUGAAUUACCAUAUACAGAGAAACCACAGCUGACUUCACCAUCACAUACGCACCAGCGAAAGGUGUACAGUGGGCUGCAAGACAGUUUGUCAAAGCUAGUGUCGUUAUCAACAUCACCUUGAAGCUUCUCUGACACAGCUGUCAUUUACAUGCCACAGAUCCAAGUGGUUAAUGGGGAUGGCGGAACUCGGUAUGUGUACCAUCCAUGGACUUUUGCAGACAUAAAAGAAGUGGCACAAACCCUCCCAGAUGUGGAGGAAGUCGGGGGUGAGGAGUAUGACAGACAACUGCAGCAGCUGAUUAUGCAGUUCAGACCAACAACAGGAGAAAUACAGAGAUUGCUUGGAACUCAAACUAAUUUGAAAUGGGGAUGAGUGUCAGUAGAUUUCACUACAGAAGAUUUUAAAUAUGAUGAUGACGGAAGGGACACUGAUUACAUGACUUGUGCGCAGGCUCAUUAACCAAAUAAGGACUAUGUUUCAGAGAUGUCUGGAUUUUAGGAAAAUUUCAGCCUGCAAGGAGGGCCCAAAUGAAUGUAUUUAUGACUAUCUGGCACGGCUUACGGAAAUGCAAACCACAGACAGUGGUAUAGACCGGCCGGCAAACAUGAACAAUAUGUCUCCUUGGGAGGCACAUUUGCAGGAUCAGUUUGUGGAAGAACUAAGACUGGAUAUCAGGGCUCAUGUUAGAGACCACUGUGUGGAUUGCGACACAGGACAAUUGACUGAUGUUGAGAAGUAUGCUGUGCAUGCUGAAAGGCCCUGAAUGAGAAGUCAAUAAAAAAGGAAAAGAUUAUGGCGGCUAGACUGCAGAUGGCUCAACUGAAUGCCCUCGAGGCUCAGGUGAAAAAAGGAACACAAGGACGUGGACAAGAUCGAUGGCAAGGCCGGGGAAAUGGCCAAGAGUGCAGUGACGGCUGUUUCGUUUGCAGGGUGAUGGACCACUGGACUAGUGACUGUCCAAAAACAAACCCAAGAAAGGAUUAUCGAAGAACAAUGAUACUGAAGCUAAUUUACUCUUGGGGGGGCUGGGGACGGAUCAGGUGACUUCUGAGGAAACCCAGCAAGAGACUUCGACAUCUGAUGACGGAGAACAACAUGACUGUGUAGCAGCAAUAACUGCUGUUUGUUCCCCUAAGCCAGACUUGAAGGACACGCCACUGCAAAAUGCGGAUCUGGAAUUGUUUGUUGAUGUUCAGCUUCAAGAGACCUAGCCACUGGUAAAACUAGAUUAAGACAGGUGAAGGAGGCAUUACCUCGAGAAGCUGAGGGUCAGUUGCAUGAUCUUAAGCCAGGCGACUGGAUUGUGGUAAAGGACUACAAGAGGAAAAGUUGGAAAGCAUCGCACUGGCAAGGACCAUUCCAGGUGUUGCUAACAACAGCCACAUUAGUGAAAGUUGCUGAGAGAGCCACUUGGAUAAAUGCCAGCCACUGUAAAAGAGAAUCAGCACUGACAGAAAACUAAUCUAUAAGCAUGCAUUGAUACCUUGCUGGAACCCGAGGGGCUCAACUCAGCUCUCUGUGGCCAAGUCCUGGAAAGUGGGGGGGGUGUUCUUUCAGUGAGCAUUCGUCCUGACCCCAGUGAAGAAACCAACAACGCACAGACAAUAUAGGAGAAGAGCUCAGAGGGGGAAGGAAGGCGAUGAUGAAGCCAAUGAGGAAACCAUGUAAACCAUAUAGACGCUUGGGAUGUGGUCUAACCUGUGGAACAGUAAUAUUAACCCUAUUAGCAUUGGUGAUAGUAAUCCCCAUUCUAAUAACCUACCAGCGACAUGGGACUACGGCUAGUAACAACAUGGGAACUAACAGCAGUGUGGCAGAAGGGACAAUGAACAAAACAGGAAAGAUGCAAAGGAGGGUGAAACAUGACACUGUAUGAAAUAUGAUACCACAGCCAACCACAGCGCUAAAGGACAAUCUAUUCUGGCAAUGGAUGAACUACACCACACACAGUUUGAGUGGUAGCAGCUGCUUAGUGUGUCAUAAUACAAGGUAUGUCCCAACUGUUAUCCCAGUGCCAGUCUCUGAUUGCCCCUGUGUGUGCCCCUGAAUGUGUCCUGUAUGCAGCCCAUCCAGACUACAGACAACAAUAGAUGAGGACCAGUGAUGACUACUGUGCUAAAUUCCUGAGAGCAUAAAGGAGUAAACCACCACCCCUUGUAUAUGUCCACAAACAAGAAACUAUAUAUGAUCUUUGUAUCUGUAAAUAAAUGGCACACGAGAUGUAGGAAUGUUAAGAUGUAAAAGAAGUGUUACCUAACCACAUCCAAUAACACCAUGUCCUGUAUGCUCAUACCAGAUCUACACAAUAGAACGGAGCCAGUAGUGGACGUAUUCUGGUUCGGUGGUGGUGACAAAUUGAUGCCAACUUUGCCGCAAGGCUGGAGAGGGUGCUGUAGUCUAGUGCUGCUGACUGGUUCCUUAACAGUGAUUCCACUGGAUGAGUAUAAAUACAUGACGAGGAAGAAACGGCAAUUAGGAGAAUUUGACAAUAAAGGUGGAGUAUGGGUAAAUUGGGCUGGAGUGCCUUUAAAUAUUCCUCCAGAAUAUUGACUGAUGUCAUUGCGAUCAGUGGAUGACUUAUCAGGUCUGCUGCCCUGGGUCCAGAUCAAAAAGAAUGUGGAAUGAAUAAGCGAUACAUGGUAUAACCAACAGCAGUUUAUGAUUUCACAAUAAAGGGACUUGAACUGUUGAAAGAACAAUUACAUGCCACUUCAGCCAUGGCAAUACAAAAUCGGUUCCUGUUAGAGACAAUGAGAGCACCAGGAGAAGUGGUGUGUACAAUGUUUGGGGAACAGUGUUGUAUGUUUAUACCAAUGCACACGGGUCCUGAGGGAAACUUGAAAAUGAUCUUGAAAUGCCUUACAAAUCUAAGGGGCGAGCACGUGAGAAAAAUGGAUACUGCCAGCCAGCAGUUAUUUUCAGCAGAGUGGAAAGCUGGCAUAGUUAGGAUAGGAACAAUACUGCUGACCGUAAUAAGUUUACCGAUGGCAGUGUCAUGUUGCAUAAUACCAUUACUACAGGGAAUGAUUAAGAGACUAACUAGUGCCAUGAUGGGACAAUAUGUACAAAAUAUGAGAAUUCCUAGGGUAAAUGAUGACUAUGACCACUACGAUCCAAAGAAGCAACCUGAUCUUUUCCGUCCCAGACUGGGUACCUCCUUAUCAAAAUUACGUUGAUGUCUUAAACAUUUCUGUAAAGAAUAUUGAGGUUUAAGAGCUUGCUCAUAUAUUUAGCAAAAAAACAGCAUCUUGCAAUAUGGGUUUCAAAUAAUUAGUAGAUAGAGUUUUAGAUAUUCAUAUAAUGAUUGAUGAAUAAUUCUAUUUGUGCACUUUGAUUGAAAUUUUGAUUGAAAAGUACUUAGAAUAAUUUACAUGAUCAAGAUUUGUGAGCAUAAAAUGCUCAAAGGAGGGAAUUGUAAUGGAAAAUUAUUAAGACUUUGUAUUCUAUUGUUUCUCUACUGGACACUUUGUGUCUGUUUUUCCCCUGCAUACCAUAUAAUGUGUGGAUGCUCUGUACUCUGCAUGGUGAUGAAGAGUGUGUCCUCUAGCUUACCCCACUCUCAUUCUGCCCAGCAACAGCAUUAGUAGAGCAAGACACGAGAUGUUCACAAGCCCGAGGCAUGCACGAAGUAUGAACGCUGAGUGGUCAGUGCAGAGAGGAGCCUGAAACCCCACCUGGCAGAGUAUAAGGGUAGAGGAGACAAGGAGCUCUUUGCUUGGCACCUGUGGAAACCUUUGAUUUCUGUAUGGUGACUGAGACUACUUACAAGUAUUAUUAAAGAUCCAGACAUUCCAUUAUAUACACAAACACCACUGCAGUGUCAGGAUGAUAACAGAUUCACACUUCAACACCUGGAUGGACUUUUGAUCAACAAAUACCACAAUAACACAGUGCAGCCACAACAUCCACUGCUCAGGGAUACAAUCCAGGAUCUCCACACACAGAGCAUUAUACAGUCGGACUGUGAUGACAUUCCUGGACAAAUUCCAAGGGAGACAAGAUAACAUACUUCAGUCUCCAGAAACACCACAACCAUAGCCAGGACUGUAUUAACACACAGGAUUACAGGGGCUUAAGACCUGGAGCUUGUGGCAGCGGGGGGCCCCAAACUCCCAGGGGGAGGGUAGUCGUGGCAUCCUCCACCAUAUUCUCCCCUGUCAAUGUUCUUGGGAAGGCGCACAUGUAAACAUGUUCAAGCCAUGGAGUACCUUAAUACGGCCCUGGCCAUAGCCCCUCUCACCCCACACUUUAUUCCUUUAUCCAACAACUCUAUUUCUGAGCUUCUCUGAGAAAAAGGAGGAACUAGUGUAUGCUGGAAGAAAACUCUCCCACUCCAUUGCUGCGAGUCCCCAGAUACCAACCAAAAAGGUUCCUCAAUCACCAAAGCCUGGGGGCCAAGAUCGUCCUCUCCCUCUCUCUGAGAGAGCUCUAUGGCUGCUGCCACAAUGCCAGGGCACACUUCGUCCUUCCUCUGCUCUAGGUGAACAAUAAACAUCUGAUAACAGCUCUCAAUCAUAUGUGUCGGUCCCCGCUACGGUAGCAGGAACAUUCACAAAUGUUUACAGAACAAGCAGGAACCCGAUGUGCCUGUAGCUUUCUCUAUAUCUUUAUCUAUUAGGUGAUGGAAAGAUUAAGGCUAUUUUAAAACGCAAGGCAAUCCUAUCUAAUCUGCUAAUCAAGACUCCAAUCUGAGUUUGCUGUGGGGUCAAUAACACAUAUUGUCAAAUUAGCACUUUUAAACAGUCGCUCACUUAAGAACAAGUAAUUUUUAGUCAAUAACCUCAACACCACAAACAACCUGGAUUUUAUGUUUCUAAAUGAAUCUUGGUCAGAUAACAGCUGCAGUGCAACAGUCCUCAAUGAAUCAGCCUCUCCAAAUUUUACUUUUAUGCAUGUCUGCAGAGCUGUUAAGAGAGGUGGAGGAAUAGCUGCUGUAUUUAAAGAUGUCUAUAAAUGCAAGUGUAACGAUGCUGCUGGCACUGGCAAUGACGGAGACGUUGGAAUGAAGAACCCAAGUGCAAUUUAUUAAACAAAAGUGAUAUCCAAAUAACCCUAACCAUAAACAUGAACUUGACUAUAACCUUGAAUUAACAUAAACUUGCCACAACAUUACCAAACAUCUACAAUACUCAACAAAGAACAAUGGAAAACAUGAGGGCUUAUAUACAUGGACAUGGGAGCACAUAACCAAUGAACAAACAGAACUCUAAACAAGAUAAUCAAACAAUGAAGCAAUGAAAAGACAUGAACAUGGAGGGAAAACAGGACAUCACAUGACUAGGGACACAUGACAUAAAACAGGAACUAAACAUUUCAAAAUAAAAGACAUGAAAUACAUGAACACACACAUUUAACAUUACAGCAAGCAAGUGUCACUUGAUUAAAUUUUAACAGUCACAUGCCGGUUACCAUGUUUCUCUCAGAGAGUUAUUCUACUACUCACCACUAGGGGGCGCUAGGAGGCUCUAGUGAUUGGUAUAUAGCUAGAUAGGUAGUAGAAGAAGUUAGAUUAUGGAAAGGAUGGUCACAGAAAGGUUAACAUAUUCUUUAGAAAGAGAGGACUAAUAACAAAAUACUAGAGUGGAUUUAGAAAAGGCAGAGGAACAAUAGAUCAUACUGUGUGUCUGAGAAAUGAAAUUAGAAAAGCACAGAUAAAUAAAGAAUCAGUUUUAGCGGUAUUUUUUGAUGUUGAAAAAGCAUAUGACAUGAUGUGGAAAGAGGGUCUUCUGAUAAAACUAAAAAUGAAUAUAGGAGGAAGAAUUUUCAAGUGGAUAAAGGAUUUUAUGGGAAAUAGGAAUAUUCAGGUAAGGGUAGGAAAUGAAAUAUCAAAUAGACAUGAAAUAGAAAAUGGGACUCCACAAGGAAGUGUAAUAAGUCCAUUAAUGUUUUCUAUAAUGAUUAAUGAUGUUUUUUCCCCAAGUUCAACCAGAUAUAGGAAGAUCUCUUUUUGCAGAUGAUGGGGCAAUUUGGAAAAAUGGAAGGAACAUUCUGCAUAUAAAUAGAAAGAUACAAGAAGCAAUAAUAAAGGUAGAAACAUGGGCGUAUGAAUGGGAAUUUAAAUUAUCAGUAGAAAAGACAAAUACAGUAGUUUUCACAAGGAAAAUAAUUCUCCCAGAAAUGAACCUGAAAAUGUAUGAAAGAACAUUGGACAGGGUGAAAGUUUUUAGAUUCUUGGGAAUCUUAUUUGACACAAAAUUAACAUGGGCAGAUCAUAUAAAUAAAAUUGUUGGAAAAUGUCAGAAAGUAAUAAACAUCAUGACUUAAAAACUAUAUAUAUGACAAUGAUUAGGUCUGUGAUUGAUUAUGGAAUUACAGUAUAUGGAUCAGCGUCAAAAACUUUAUUGGAAAAAAUAAAUAAGAUACAAGCUCAAGCUUUGAAGCAGUGCAGUGGAGCAGUACAAACAGCAUCCAUAUCAGCUCUGCAAGUUCUGACAGGAGAGAUGCCACUAGAAAUAAGGAGGAAACAGCUAAUGAUUAAUUACUGGGUCAGUCUUAAAGGGCAUAACAUCCUACAAAAAUGGUGAUACAAGAAAGCUGGGAACAAAAUAAAAUAAAUAGUUUUGGAUGGGCUAGUAAAAUAUAUGCAAAAGAAAUGGGGAUUCAAGAGGAGCCCAACAGAAACAGAACCGUGGGUACAUAAGAUACCACAAACAGACAUGCAUAUGCUGGACAUAAAGAAAGCAGGAAGAGGGGAAAUAGAUUUACCAACCGAAUUUUCAAUCCAUGUCAGUGUUAAUUACCCCCAAUAUAUACACAUACUGUAUUUACAGAUGGGUCAAAAGAUCCAGAGCAUCAGACAACUGGAGCAGCAUUUACAGUACCAAAAUGGAAAGAAAGUGGAAUAAAAUGAAGUUAAAUUUAUUUGGGAGUAUAUACAGUGGAAUGCUGGCAAUAUUCAUGGCUUUACAGUGGGUAGAAGAACACAAACAAGGAUACAUUUUAAUAUGUUCUGACUCUGUUUCAGUCCUUAAGAGCCUGAGAUCUUUCAAAUCCAGCCGACAAGAUAUUCUGUUUAGAAUUUUACAAGUACAUACAAGAAUAAUUCGAGAGGGUACAGUAAUUAGGUUUAUGUGGGUUCCGGCACAUGUGGGUAUAAAGGGAAAUGAGGAGGUGGAUAAAUUAGCAAAACAAGUAUUACAAAGAGAAACAACAGAAUUACAAGUUGCAUUAAGUAAGUCAGAAGUUAAAGCAGUAAUAUGGGGUAAAGCAAUAGAAGAAUGGCAAGGAAAGUGGAACAAUGAAACAAAAGGUAGAUUUCUUUACAGCAUAACCAAUAAAGUUAAUCAGAAAAUAGGAAAUAUAGGUAAGUCAAGGAAAGAGGAAGUUGUUUAGUUGUUUACAACAGAAUAAGUUUAGGCCAUUCAAUUUAAAUAGUACACUAAAAAUAAUAGGAAAACAUCCAGAUGGGUUGUGUGAAUAUUGUCAGGUUGAGGAGAAUAUAUCACAUGUAAUUACUGAAUGCACUAAAUAUAUGAUGGAGGAGUUGAUGAAGAAUGGAACAGUGCAGUAUUAAUUAAACAUUAACAGUGCAGUAUUAAUUAAUUAACAAAUAUGUCAAGUUGGAAAAACAGUAGAACUUUCUUUGAAUUCAUAAGUAAAACAGGAUUGAUAGGUAGAAUUUAAGCUCUGUUCCACACUCCGGAGCAGAAGGUGGCGGUAAUGCACCAUUUACAUUGGAUGCCACCCGCCGUUAAAAAAUCAAGAAGAAGAAGUAGUAGUAGUAACAUCUGUUGGGCAGCGUAAGCAUGGCCAUAAGCCUCACUGAGUCCUGAUUGGGAAAUUGUGGUUUCAAGCUCAAUCAAUGUAAGGAUUGCUUUCUUUUCUUUUCUUUUCUUUUCUUUCAUUCAUUCAUUCUAUGUAUUUUCUGGUUUGGUUUUUGUAUGGGUUUGUAAUCAUUGCAAAUGCUUUAUAUGUAUUGUAUGAGUUUGUUUGCUAACUGGCUUCAAUGCUAAUGUUAGUUAUGUCUUUUAUUUUAGAAGGACUCUUUAGUCCUAGUAGUAGUAAUCUACUACUUUUGUUCAUCGGUUGAAGAUUAAAAGAAGAUUUCCAUUAACAAACAAUUCCUAUACAUCGCCUUGUGGAUCUCUUGAGAGCUCAUGAUUUAGGAUUGUAAAGAUGUAUCUUUAUGUUGGAUUAUCUACAUGAUGGAUUUUUUUUCAAUUGGAUUAUUUCACGGACUUCAAUACCACCAUCUACCUCCAUAUCUACAUCUUGGACAGACUUUAUCAUUAUCGGACAAUAUAAGAUAAGAUUGUCAUUUCCACUUAUAGUUGUUUCUGUUGCUCCAUAUCAGACUGGUUUCCACACACAUAGGUUUCAAGGACUUUAGUUAUUUACAGCGGAGUCGGCUAUCAUAUGUAUUUUUAUUUUUUAUUUCUUUCUCAUAUGCUCAGUGCUGAUUUUGUUUUCUUGAUCACUUGAUGUAUUUUUGUGUACAACAUUCAAACUUAUAUAAAAUAGCAAAAAAAAAAAACCAGUACUGACUAUUUUGCCUUAUUGUUUUAUUGAUUUAUACCUGAUUUAAUUUAUGUUUAUGUAAUACAAGUUGGCGGGUCCUUCCCUUAAACAGAUUUAUAGCAGUCACAUACUCAGUGUAGCUGAGGUUGUUAUAACAUAUCCUUUGAAUACAUAAGUAUUGAACCAAAACAUGCUCCAUGCAUUAUAUUUAUAAUUGUAUAUGGGCCUACAAAAUACUCUUCAGCCUUUGUUGACAAUUUUGGUUUUGCUAUUGCUGAGGAUUUCAACAUUCAUAUAGAUAAUCUGGAACACAACACUGCAAAAGAACUCACACUCCCAAUCGUGGACACACUCAGGAUCUGCUCAUUAGAAAGGGUCUACAGUGCAUCCGGAAAGUAUUCACAGCACUUCACAGCACUUUUUCCACAUUUUGUUAUG